rnacentral:rRNA from 1 species
UACGAAGGGGGCUAGCGUUGCUCGGAAUCACUGGGCGUAAAGGGUGCGUAGGCGGGUCUUUUAAGUCAGGGGUGAAAUCCUGGAGCUCAACUCCAGAACUGCCUUUGAUACUGAAGAUCUUGAGUUCGGGAGAGGUGAGUGGAACUGCGAGUGUAGAGGUGAAAUUCGUAGAUAUUCGCAAGAACACCAGUGGCGAAGGCGGCUCACUGGCUCGAUACUGACGCUGAGGCACGAAAGCGUGGGGAGCAAACAGG